GACGAACGCUGGCGGCGUGCUUAACACAUGCCAGUCGAACGCUGAAGCUCAGCUUGCUGGGUGGAUGAGUGGCGAACGGGUGAGUAACACGUGAGUAACCUGCCCUCUUCUUUGGGAUAACGCCCGGAAACGGGUGCUAAUACUGGAUAUUCACUGAUUCUCGCAUGGGGGUUGGUGGAAAGGUUUUUUCUGGUGGGGGAUGGGCUCGCGGCCUAUCAGCUUGUUGGUGGGGUGAUGGCCUACCAAGGCUUUGACGGGUAGCCGGCCUGAGAGGGUGACCGGUCACAUUGGGACUGAGAUACGGCCCAGACUCCUACGGGAGGCAGCAGUGGGGAAUAUUGCACAAUGGGCGAAAGCCUGAUGCAGCGACGCCGCGUGAGGGAUGGAGGCCUUCGGGGUGGAAACCUCUUUCGCUCAUGGUCAAGCCGCAGCUUUGGGUUGUGGUGAGGGUAGUGGGUAAAGAAGCGCCGGCUAACUACGUG
rnacentral:rRNA from 1 species